AGGGGUGUAGCUCAGCCCGGUAGAGCAGCGGUCUCCAAAACCGCAGGUCCGAGGUUCGAAUCCUCGCGCCCCUGCCA
rnacentral:tRNA from 1 species